AUGAUCACUCAUCACAACAGUGUGAGGCCUCACAUCCACCCCUCGAGGUCAGUAUUAUCAAAUAGGUGUUUUACAGGUGUUUAUAGUGAGGAUCUCACUCCUGUCAAGAAGGAAGAGAACAGUUUAGAAGGAACAACAGUUGCUCUUGUUUCUCUGUCCUACACGCUCUCUAAAACUGCUACAGGGAGCGAUUAUUUCUUCUGGUACCGUCAGUAUCCUGGAGAACCUCCACAGUUCCUGCUGUACAUCUCAGGGUUUGGUAACAACAGGACAGCUGAGUCUCUUGGUUCAGACAAAAGGUUUUCCACUGAACUGACUGAAGAGAAGACUGGAGUUGAUCUGAAGAUCUCCUCUGUUGCAGUGACAGACUCUGCUCUGUACUACUGUGCUCUGCAGCCCACAGUGACAGGAAACAUAGGCUCGCUGUACAAAAACCUGCUGAGCACAAAACAAUCUUUCAACUCCCCCUGAGACCCGAUCAAUGACAUUUCUGACACAACACUUCAUCUCAAUAUUUAUUUCCUGAUUAACUAUACAUGUUUACCAUUUUUCAAUUUUAUUAUUUAUUUUUAUAUUUUUUCAGUAAGUUCACUUGUUUAUUCUUUUAAAUGAUUCGGUUUGAAUUGUGUGUUAUAUUUGUAGCUUUUAUCCGCAUGGCUCAUUCAAUUAAAAACCAUCUAGGUUUCCACAGUUACUCUUCUUAAAGUGAACAUGAAGGUGAGUUCUCUUAUCCACCCCUAGAGGUCAGUAUUGUCAAGUAGGUGCUUUACUAUUUCAUCAACAUGGUUGGUCAUUGUAUCUUUAAGAGCUGGUACCAUGAAGAGAAUAAGUCUCAUACUUGAGGUGAACACCAGAUGGUUUCUCCUGUUGCUGUAGACCUGCUGUAGAGAUGGAAACCUGGCUGUUGAUUAUUAUUGCUGCACUUCCAUCUGGGCUGAUAGCUGGGGACUCCAUCUCUCCUGAUUAACAGA